GACGAACGCUGGCGGCGUGCUUAACACAUGCAAGUCGAGCGAGACCCUGCCUUCGGGUGGGUGUUCUAGCGGCGAACGGGUGAGUAACACGUGGGCAACCUGCCCCUAGCUCUGGGAUAACUCCGGGAAACCGGGGCUAAUACCGGAUAUGACCAUCGUGGGCAUCUGUGGUGGUGUAAAGGGUUUACUGGCUAGGGAUGGGCCCGCGGCCUAUCAGCUUGUUGGUGGGGUGAUGGCCUACCAAGGCGACGACGGGUAGCCGGCCUGAGAGGGCGACCGGCCACACUGGGACUGAGACACGGCCCAGACUCCUACGGGAGGCAGCAGUGGGGAAUAUUGCGCAAUGGGCGGAAGCCUGACGCAGCGACGCCGCGUGAGGGACGAAGGCCUUCGGGUUGUAAACCUCUUCUAGCAGGGACGAAGCGAGAGUGACGGUACCUGCAGAAGAAGCACGGCUAACGUACGUGCCAGCGACCGCGGUAAUAGUCACGUCG
rnacentral:rRNA from 1 species